rnacentral:rRNA from 1 species
UACGUAGGGGGCAAGCGUUGUCCGGAAUUAUUGGGCGUAAAGAGCGUGUAGGCGGUCCGGUAAGUCAGCUGUGAAAGUCAAGGGCUCAACCCUUGAAAGCCGGUUGAUACUGUCGGGCUAGAGUCCGGAAGAGGCGAGUGGAAUUCCCGGUGUAGCGGUGAAAUGCGCAGAUGUCGGGAGGAACACCAAUGGCGAAGGCAGCUCGCUGGGACGGUACUGACGCUGAGACGCGAAAGCGUGGGGAGCAAACAGG